GGAGAAGUACUCAAGUGGCUGAAGAGGCGCCCCUGCUAAGGGUGUAGACGGGUCAUACCGUGCGAGGGUUCAAAUCCCUCCUUCUCCG
rfam:Lactobacillus camelliae DSM 22697 = JCM 13995 strain DSM 22697 NODE_196, whole genome shotgun sequence.